UACGUAUGGAGCAAGCGAUAUCCGGAUUUACUGGGUGUAAAGGGAGCGCAGACGGCAAGGCAAGUCUGAUGUGAAAGUCCGAGGCUCAACCUCGGGACUGCAUUGGAAACUGUCUGGCUAGAGUGCAGGAGAGGUAAGUGGAAUUCCUAGUGUAGCGGUGAAAUGCAUAGAUAUCACGCAGAACUCCGAUUGCGAAGGCAGCAUACCGGCGCCCGACUGACGCUGAGGCACGAAAGCGUGGGGAUCGAACAGG
rnacentral:rRNA from 1 species